rnacentral:rRNA from 1 species
UACGUAGGGUGCGAGCGUUGUCCGGAAUUAUUGGGCGUAAAGAGCUCGUAGGCGGUCUGUCGCGUCGAAUGUGAAAACCCGGGGCUCAACUCCGGGCUUGCAUUCGAUACGGGCAGGCUAGAGUUCGGUAGGGGAGUCUGGAAUUCCUGGUGUAGCGGUGAAAUGCGCAGAUAUCAGGAGGAACACCGAUGGCGAAGGCAGCUCGCUGGGACGGUACUGAUGCUGAGGCGCGAAAGCGUGGGGAGCAAACAGG